rnacentral:rRNA from 1 species
AACGUAGGGGGCUAGCGUUGCUCGGAAUCACUGGGCGUAAAGGGUGCGUAGGCGGGUCUUUAAGUCAGGGGUGAAAUCCUGGAGCUCAACUCCAGAACUGCCUUUGAUACUGAAGAUCUUGAGUUCGGGAGAGGUGAGUGGAACUGCGAGUGUAGAGGUGAAAUUCGUAGAUAUUCGCAAGAACACCAGUGGCGAAGGCGGCUCACUGGCCCGAUACUGACGCUGAGGCACGAAAGCGUGGGGAGCAAACAGG